CCUACGGGAGGCAGCAGUGGGGAAUUUUGGACAAUGGGCGCAAGCCUGAUCCAGCCAUGCCGCGUGAGUGAAGAAGGCCUUCGGGUUGUAAAGCUCUUUCAGUUGGGAAGAAACGAUUGCAACUAAUAAUUGUAAUUAAUGACGGUACCGACAGAAGAAGCACCGGCUAACUACGUGCCAGCAGCCGCGGUAAUACGUAGGGUGCGAGCGUUAAUCGGAAUUACUGGGCGUAAAGGGUGCGCAGGCGGUUUUGUAAGUCAGAUGUGAAAUCCCCGGGCUUAACCUGGGAAUGGCGUUUGAAACUGCAAGGCUAGAGUGUAGCAGAGGGGAGUGGAAUUCCGCGUGUAGCAGUGAAAUGCGUAGAUAUGCGGAGGAACACCGAUGGCGAAGGCAGCUCCCUGGGCUAACACUGACGCUCAUGCACGAAAGCGUGGGGAGCAAACAGGAUUAGAUACCCUGGUAGUCCACGCCCUAAACGAUGUCAACUAGUUGUCGGGCCUAAUUGAGGGUUUGGUAACGUAGCUAACGCGUGAAGUUGACCGCCUGGGGAGUACGAUCGCAAGAUUAAAACUCAAAGGAAUUGACGG
rnacentral:rRNA from 2 species